ensembl:lncRNA
UGACAAGGGAGUCUUGGGAUACUGUUCCCCUGUGGCCACAAAGACCUAACUAGAGCAUGAAAGGACCAAGGAGCACCUGCAGAAGGCAAAAUACCAGGCAAAUGGAAGAUUAGGCAGGCUUGGAAAGACCUAAUUUUAGACACACUGGCACCAAGCUGAGGUUUGUCUCCUUCCCUUGAUCAGAAGGUUCAGGAGGAACUGAGCAGGAGAAUGACCUUCUCUCUGUGCAAGCCAGUGAUGGACAGUGUGGCACAUGUGUCCCCCACAGAAUUACCCUGCAGGACCUGGCAUAGCUGUGCAUGGGAAAUGUGUCUUAAGAGAUACUCCUGGAAACAGAAUUGGCAUAAAAGAUUUAGGACUUCUAAAUCUCUACAGAAAAAGAAGGAAGAUAGAAGAAACAGGAAGGGCAAGACACCUUGACCAAUUCAGAGACAUAAGGAAGAAGAAAAAGAACUCAUGACAAAUAAAUGGUAACACAAAAUGCCA